UACAGAGGUCUCAAGCGUUGUUCGGAUUCAUUGGGCGUAAAGGGCGCGUAGGCGGCGGGGUAAGUCGGGUGUGAAAUCUCAGAGCUCAACUCUGAAAUGGCACUUGAUACUGCUCUGCUAGAGGACUGGAGAGGAGAUUGGAAUUCACGGUGUAGCAGUGAAAUGCGUAGAUAUCGUGAGGAAGACCGGUGGCGAAGGCGGCAUCCUGGACCGACACUGACGCUGGUGAGCGAAAGCUAGGGGAGCAAACGGG
rnacentral:rRNA from 1 species